rnacentral:rRNA from 1 species
UACGGAGGGUGCGAGCGUUGUCCGGAAUCACUGGGCGUAAAGGGCGCGUAGGCGGCGCGGAUAGUCGGCGGUGAAAGCCCCGGAGCUCAACUCCGGGUCGGCCGUCGAUACUUCCGGGCUUGAGCACUGUAGAGGCAGAUGGAAUUCCGGGUGUAGCGGUGGAAUGCGUAGAGAUCCGGAAGAACACCGGUGGCGAAGGCGGUCUGCUGGGCAGUUGCUGACGCUGAUGCGCGACAGC